rnacentral:rRNA from 1 species
UGACCAGACUCCUACGGGAGGCAGCAGUGGGGGAUAUUGCACAAUGGGGGAAACCCUGAUGCAGCGACGCCGCGUGAGUGAAGAAGUAUUUCGGUAUGUAAAGCUCUAUCAGCAGGGAAGAAAAAAGACGGUACCUGACUAAGAAGCCCCGGCUAACUACGUGCCAGCAGCCGCGGUAAUACGUAGGGGGCGAGCGUUAUCCGGAUUCACUGGGUGUAAAGGGAGCGUAGACGGCCAUGCAAGCCAGGGGUGAAAGCCCGGGGCCCAACCCCGGGACUGCCCUUGGAACUGUGCGGCUAGAGUGCGGGAGGGGCAGGCGGAAUUCCUGGUGUAGCGGUGAAAUGCGUAGAUAUUAGGAGGAACACCAGUGGCGAAGGCGGCUUGCUGGACUGUAACUGACACUGAGGCUCGAAAGCGUGGGGAGCAAACAGGAUUAGAUACCCUCGUA